UACGGAGGGUGCAAGCGUUAUCCGGAUUUAUUGGGUUUAAAGGGUCCGUAGGCGGAUCCGUAAGUCAGUGGUGAAAUCUCAUAGCUUAACUAUGAAACUGCCAUUGAUACUGCGGGUCUUGAGUGAGAUUGAGGUAGCUGGAAUAAGUAGUGUAGCGGUGAAAUGCAUAGAUAUUACUUAGAACACCAAUUGCGAAGGCAGGUUACCAAGUCUUAACUGACGCUGAUGGACGAAAGCGUGGGGAGCGAACA
rnacentral:rRNA from 1 species